rnacentral:rRNA from 1 species
AACGAACGCUGGCGGCAUGCCUACACAUGCAAGUCGAACGAGAUCUUCGGGUCUAGUGGCGCACGGGUGCGUAACGCGUGGGAAUCUGCCCUUUGGUUCGGAAUAACAGUUGGAAACGACUGCUAAUACCGGAUGAUGACGAAAGUCCAAAGAUUUAUCGCCAGAGGAUGAGCCCGCGUAGGAUUAGCUAGUUGGUGUGGUAAAGGCGCACCAAGGCGACGAUCCUUAGCUGGUCUGAGAGGAUGAUCAGCCACACUGGGACUGAGACACGGCCCAGACUCCUACGGGAGGCAGCAGUGGGGAAUAUUGGACAAUGGGUGAAAGCCUGAUCCGGCAAUGCCGCGUGAGUGAUGAAGGCCUUAGGGUUGUAAAGCUCUUUUACCCGGGAUGAUAAUGACAGUACCGGGAGAAUAAGCUCCGGCUAACUCCGUGCCAGCCGCCGCGGUAA